rnacentral:rRNA from 1 species
CCUACGGGGGGCAGCAGUGGGGAAUAUUGGACAAUGGGGGGAACCCUGAUCCAGCCAUGCCGCGUGUGUGAAGAAGGCCCUCGGGUUGUAAAGCACUUUCAGUGAGGAAGAACGCCUAGUGGUUAAUACCCAUCAGGAAAGACAUCACUCACAGAAGAAGCACCGGCUAACUCCGUGCCAGCAGCCGCGGUAAUACGGAGGGUGCGAGCGUUAAUCGGAAUUACUGGGCGUAAAGCGCGCGUAGGUGGCUUGAUAAGCCGGUUGUGAAAGCCCCGGGCUCAACCUGGGAACGGCAUCCGGAACUGUCAAGCUAGAGUGCAGGAGAGGAAGGUAGAAUUCCCGGUGUAGCGGUGAAAUGCGUAGAGAUCGGGAGGAAUACCAGUGGCGAAGGCGGCCUUCUGGACUGACACUGACACUGAGGUGCGAAAGCGUGGGUAGCAAACAGGAUUAGAUACCCUGGUAGUC